UUCUGGCUCAGAAUGAACGCUGGCGGCAUGGAUUAGGCAUGCAAGUCGAACGUACUCCCUUCGGGGAGAAAGUGGCGAAAGGGUGAGUAACACGUGAGCAACCUGCCUCCGGAUCCGGAAUAAUCCAGGGAAACUUGGUCUAAAACCGGAUGAAGACAUUGGGCCGCAUGGUCUGGUGUUAAAAUAUUUAUAGUCCGGAGAGGGGCUCGCGGCCCAUUAGCUUGUUGGCGGGGUAAUGGCCCACCAAGGCUACGACGGGUAGGUGGUCUGAGAGGAUGGUCACCCACACUGGGACUGAGACACUGCCCAGACUCCUACGGGAGGCUGCAGUCGAGAAUCUUCCGCAAUGGGCGCAAGCCUGACGGAGCGAUGCCGCGUGAGGGAUGAAGGCCUUCGGGUUGUAAACCUCUGUCAUCCGGGACGAAAACAAUGACGGUACCGGAAAAGGAAGCCACGGCUAACCACGUGCCAGCAGCCGC
rnacentral:rRNA from 1 species